ACCUGGCUGGCUUAGUUGGAAGAGUAUGUGACUCCUGAUCUCAGGGUUGGGGGUUUGAACCCUGUGUUGGGUG
rnacentral:tRNA from 1 species